rnacentral:lncRNA from 1 species
CACUUGAUUCCUCAAGCUUCCCCUCCAACACUCUUGUUCUUCUCUUCACUCUUUCUCUCUCUACCUCUCCUUCUCUCUAGUAAAAUGUUUUGUAGUGAAUGAAUACAAUUCUAAGACAACCCUAGUGUUAUCCCCCUUAAUGGGCUUAACUCAAAAUCUAAUGGGCCUAACCCAUUCCAACACAAUUCAAAAGUUUCUAUACACUCAACGGUAAUUACUAACAACGGUAAAAUAUAACCAACGGUCACUAAUGGUAAAAACUAAUCACUACACUAGUAACUU